GUGUGACUCGAUGCCAGAGCAGAGGGGGAUGGAGCAGCACAGGGGUUCUGUGCUGUCCAGAGAGCGUGGGCGCUGGUUCUCCCCAGAUUGGCCCCUUCUCCCUCUCCCCCGGCCCCUCGGGGGAGGGGUGCAGGCGGCUGUCCCCCAUCUCCUGCAGACGGGGGCCAUAGGACCAGUCCCAGAGAGGGGACAGGGUCUGUACUUCAUCCUGGCCCUGCGCAAGGAGAAAUUUGGGUAAUAGGACCGUGCUCGGUCUGGAACAUCUCUGGGAGAGCCCUGGGCAGCCCCAAUUCAAGACAGAUGUUUAAGUCCCACCCUGGCGGUGAUCCGCAAAGGGCCUGUCUGUGCUCCAUGGAGCUGAGACACAGCCCUGCCCACCCCCCUUCGUCAGCGUCACCUCAGAGCUCGGUGUCACCCCUGCAUCCCAGCGCGUCCGGUUCAGCUCCUCGCCCGUCAGCCUCGCCGCAGCCCCCGGUUCCUGCCACGGGUUCAUUGUCAGGGUCACUGCCCUCAGACAGGAAGGGGUCACCUCUGGCCAUCCUCAGCGACGCUCCAGCCAGAGGGUGAGCCCCACAAACCACUUCCCAGGCACUCCGGAUCCCGGGACCGCGGGUUCAUUCUGCGCCGGGAAGAGAGACGCCUGGGCCCCACCCCACGGAGAGCUCGCCUGGGGCUGGGAAUGACCCACCGUCUCUCGGGUUAUUGCUCAGGAGAGAAGGGACAAUUCCCUGCUUUGCUCAGGACGGCCAGCAGCCUGCAGGAGGUCGCAGCCUGCCCCAGUGUCACUGCUGGGUGUGUUGUGUGUGGACACACUGGGGUGAGUGCACACAAGAGCUCCAGUCGUUUCUGCUGUCCCUGCCUGCUCACACCUUGGUGUGUCCAACCAGGAGAGUCUGGCUUCCCCAGAGCCUCAGCACCUCUCAGAUGGGGCUCAGCACCUGUCGUUUCCUGUAGCCAGGCCGGACAGGAGAGUCUGGCUUCCCCAGAGCCUCAGCACCUCUCGGAUGGGGCUCAGCACCUGUCGUUUCCUGUAGCCGGGCCGGACAGGAGAAUCUGGCUUCCCCGGAGCCUCAGCAUCUCUCGGAUGGGGCUCAGCACCUGUCGUUUCCUGUAGCCGGGCCGGACAGGAGAGUGCUAUGGGCAGUGCCAGCCUGUGGGGCUGGGCGCUUGCGUGGAGUUCAGCUCAGUACAGAGCAGGGGAGGGAACCUGGCAUGAAGUGGGUGCAGCUCGAGGUGAUUGGCUGCGGGCUCUGGCCCUGUCCCCAGGGUUGAACAGCUCCCUCCUCCUACUCUGACCUGACACCAGCGCAGUGCCCUGUGUCAGCGAACAGGGUGGGACGAGGUCGUCACACCAGCAGGAGGAAGCCGACCCUCUGAUGUCCUGUGUGGAGCGAAGCCCCCAGCGUGGUCGAGGAAUGAGGUGUGACGAGCGACGCAGGGAAGAGCUGGCUCAGGUGUUUGGGAGCCUGCGCUCAGACGUGCUUCUGUUCCUAGUGAGGGAAUUUCCAGUCUCACUGAGAGACCCAUUUGUGUCUCACCCACGCUGCAGGGUCCCUCCUUUCCCGGCUGGAAGGGAUCCCACUGGCAUCCAGGAAACCUUGCACCGGGUCUGCCUGAUUUAGAGCCGGGGGCAGUUCAAGCCCUGCUGCAGGAGACGGAGCUUCUCUGCUUCUUCACCGGCUCUAAUGUAGGUCUUGGAAUUCCUGCAGGAGGGUCGGACCCAGGGCUUGGCCGUCUGUGUCACUUCGAGUGGCUGCUCUCCCUGGGCAGGCAGAGGGUCUCUGUACUGGGAUAUCCAGCGUUUGCUCCCAGCUGCAUCCUGGCUUCAUCCUUCUGCCAGUUGGGGCUCGCGGCACCACUUCUCUUCGCCGGUGCCCAAGGACAGGAACCGCGGGCACUAAGACAUGAGCCGCUCCCCGACACCGAAAGGGGACAGGCAAGGAGACCGGGACAGUGCGUGACCCACGCCAGGCUGCUCUCCCUCACCGGCAUCACUGCAGCCGCUGUUAAAGACACCCACGCGGGUCCCUCGUACCUCACCACGGGAUGCACCACCCUCCUGCUGUCAGCGUACCAGACACUUCACGGUACCAACCACCCCAGGGGCGUACGCGGCAACUAUGGACCUGCUUACACUGCCGGUACCAUGGUCCCUGGACGUCCAGGACUUGGCAUCGUCGGCAAGAGACCCUACCCGGCUAUAGAACGGCUCCAAGACCACUCUCCAAGGGAAACCCCCUCUGGUCACUUUGCCCAGGGAGUCCCCAUGACACCGACACCGGGAGGGUCGGCACUGCCAUGGUCUCCUCGCUUCAUAUCGUCAGGACCAUCCACACUGUUCUCCAUGGCCAUCUUACACAACAGGGACAUCUAGUGCGAUGGGGUCCCGAACACUGGGACCGGGGGCUGACACCCAUGCAGGGGCCUUUCUGGAACUUGUGGGGGUUUCCGCCACCUCAGGGCACCGGCUCCAGGCACUCUGACUCAGUGGCCUCAGAGCAGAGCCCCUCCAGUACUGCACCGAGACACACCAGACCCGAAUCCCAGUACGCCUCUCAGCACCGAGCAGCUGAAGCAGGUUCCCCACUCAGAGGAGAGAGCAGAGACCUUAACAGCUUUACCCACCUCCUCCUCUUUGCCAGAUGAGGCGCUGGUGGCCUCAGAGGUGCCCCACCCCAGGGUGAGCACAAAGCCCACCAGGACUUAUCGAAGCGAGUGGCACAAAACUGGUGUCCAGGCAGAGGUGGUGAAAGAGUCACUCAGGCCUUCCCGGCUAGCUGUGUGGCAGCAGGCCCCUCAUCACUCUUCCCCUACGUGAGGCGAUCCCAGAGCCCACUGAGGCUCUGGCAGAACCCAGCCUCCCUCCCUGCUAAGCGAACGGAGCAGGAAUAUUUUGUACCUGCCAAGGGCUGAGAAUUUUUAUUCUCUCUCUCACAAUCACGCAUCCCUAGUCGUGGCAGCUGCUGAAGAAAGGGACCAUCAAGUUCAAACGGGGCCCACAGGAAAUGCAAAGGAUCCCCAAAGUUGGCCUUGUUCUGGAGGAAACCCCCUUGCUGGGGGGAUUGCAGCUCCACGUGGCGACCCAGCAGGCCUGGCUGGGUCGCUGUGAUUUUUGCAAGUGGGAAGCGAUGCAGAAAUGGCAGGACCUGCUCCCUUAGGGCGCCCAGUUGGAGUUCCCUGCCCUUGUGCAGGAAGGGAGAGCAGUGGCCUGGGCCUCUCUGUAGGCAGCCCUGGAUGUCAUGGGUUCUGCGGCCAGGUCAGUGGCCACGGUUGUCACCACGCGCAGGAGCUCGGGGUUACAAACUCUGGGAUUUCCACAGGAUAUGCAGCAGAUGACCCAGGACCUCCCAUUUGAAGGUUCCUCGCUCUGUUCAGAGCAGACAGACACCAGACUCUAGGGCAGCACUGAAAUCCCUGGGCCUGCACUCGCCCGCAUGAGCUAGAAGGCACUAUAGGCCCCAGCAAUACAGACAAUGCUGUUCUCCACUGCCCAGACACCAGCAGUGGAGGAGACAGAACAAGGGGUUUGCGUAUAGGCCCCUUCCACCCUCCUCCUCCACGGGGCCAUCCCAGUCGGCUCCUCGUUGUUUCAGCAUCUCAAAGCCUUCGUUUCGACAUGGUGCUUGAGAACGACAUACCAGUCCCUCCACACCAGGAUCCAGUCACCCCUGUAUCUUCCAACCGUCCUAUUCCUCAGUGCCUGGGAACACAUUUACCUCGGAGCGCAGGGUCCUAAACACAGUGGAAUCUGGGUAUAGCCUCCAAAUUUUGUCUACUUCUUCCCACCCACCCACUCUCCCCGUCCCUCUUCAGGGACCCUUCUCACAAGCAUUGGUUGGAGCAGGAGAUACAAUCCUCCUUUGGAUGGGAGUCGUGGGAGAGGUUCCGCACUCACUAAGGGGGAAGGGUCUCUAUUCCCAUUAACUUCCUCAUCUCCAAAGCCAAGGGAGAUCUCAGACCAGUCCUAGCCCUGCCUCGGCUCAACCACUGUCUCAGAAAGUGAAAGUUCUGCAUGGUCUCCUUGGCCUCCAUCAUCCUGUGGCUGAAUCCAGGGGACUGGUCUGAUGCCCUCGACUUGAAAGGUCCAUACUUCCACGUAUUAAUUUUCCAGGGCCACGGAAGGUGUCUAAAAUUUGUGGUAAACCAGACCCAUUAGCAAGUCGCAGCCCUGCCAUUCGGUCUGUCGGCCGCCCCGGCAGCCUUCACCCAGUGUGUGGCAGUAGUAGGGGCCUUUCUGAGAAGGAAUCUGUUUUUUCCCAUAUCUCAACGAUUGGUUGAUGAGGUUGGUCCCGAUCUCAGGUGGAGCCCGACAUCGACCUCAUACAAUCCACCUUCCAGGCGUUGGGUCUGCUGAGAAACGUACAGAAGUCGACACUUAUUCCUGUGCAAAGAAUCGAGUUCACUGAGUCAGUUCUUGACUCGGUGGAGGCGAAGGCCCUUCUGGCGCACCGCUUCUGUACAGCCUGGGCCCUGAUAACCCCCCUGCAGACACAUCCGUCACGACUCCUCAGCCACAUGGCAUCAGGCGUGUACAUGGUUUGACACGUGAGGCUGAGACUCAGACUUUUCCAGCCUGACUGGCUGCGGUACACUCCCCUUCCGGAUAUCAUCUGGGCACAGCUCUCACUGUACCAGCUUGAGGCCUGGAGAGGGUAUUUCCCUCAGAUGAAGGAACCGAUCCCCCCCAAGACCUGAACCUUGUCCUCACAAAGCCGACGGGCCCAGCCUUGGAGCCGCUAGCACCAUGCACACUGCUGCACCCCUGUGGGAAGGUCGCCUUUCCGAUUCCCAUCAUGUCGGCUAGACGAGUGUCAGAGAUCCGAGCCCUCACCGUGGAGCCCCCAGACACAAUCUCCUUUAGAGACAGUCCAGCUACGCCCACAUCCAGAGUUCCUCGCAAAAGUGGGCUCCCCAGUUCCACGUGAACUAGCUGAUUUUUCUCCCGGUCCUGUACCCUGAGCUGCACGCAGACCGAGCAGGACAAGGCCUGCACUCGCUGGAUGCUAGAUGGGUGCUGGCAUUUGACAUUCGGGGACUAAACCCUUCCCGUAAAUCCCUGCAGCUUUCCACAGUGCUAGCGGGAAGAACAAGGGGGCUCCCCAUCUCUGCUCUGAGGAUUUCGUCUUGGGUUACAUCGUGGGUCCAGGUGUCUUCUGACCUCAUGGACAUUCCCCAUCUGCCGAAGGUCACUGCUCACGUCACAAGGUCUCAGUUCUCUUCAGUGGCCUUUCUAGCGCAAGUCCCUACUCAGUAUAUCUGCAGCGCUGCGACCUGCUCCUCGGCGCACACGUUCUCAGCACGCUGAGCCGUCACUCAGCAGGCCAGGGACAAUGCAUGCUCUGGCCGUGCUGUGCUGCAGCGUAGCCUGACUUGGGGUGUGUUAGUAGUGUUGAUUUAAUUUAUCCGCUUAAUUUAAUUGUAUUUAAUUUUUAAUUAAUAAAUAAUUUUUAUAAUUA